GAUGAAGACGUAGCGAAAUGCGAUAAGUAAUGUGAAUUGAAGAAUUCCGUGAAUCAUCGAAUCUUUGAACGCACAUUGCGCCCCCUGGUAUUCCGGGGGGGCAUGCCUGUCCGAGCGUCAUUGCAACCUUCAAGCGCGGCUUGUGUGUUGGGUCUCGUCCCCCGUGGACGGGCCCGAAAGGCAGUGGCGGCGUCCCGACAUGGUGCCCGAGCGUAUGGGAAUCCUCUUCCGCUCGAAUCGGCCCAUGCGGCGCUGGUCGUAACCAAAUUUUUUACCGGUUGACCUCGGAUCAGGUAGGGAUACCCGCUGAACUUAAGCAUAUCAAUAAGCGGAGGA
rnacentral:misc_RNA from 1 species